GGAGAAGAAGCCCUGCACCACCAGCUAGUUAUGAAAAAGGACCACGGUUUCCACAGCAGACUCUAACUUGUAGGCUUUAGCUUAUAUUUCUGGGUGGUUGUUAGGAAAUUUAACACAGGGACAACAGUUCCCCGUGCGGAGGCGACGGCAUCUGGUCCGCGUUAGACUUGGCAAGUUUUCUCAAAGGUGCCACUUUGUGCUUUUAGAUGGAGAAAUAGAUGGAGAAUGAAGACCCCCUCGGUAUUCACUGGCGGCGAUUGGUGUUAAAAUCUUUUCCGAAGAGAGGUAUACUACAAACAAGACAAAAGCGUUGCUAUAUAAGACUGUAUGUAAAUCCCAUAUCCACUUAACUUCUCUGUCUUGGAUUUCACUGUAAGCGUUUGAAGAGUGGGUUUUUCACAUUCACAAUAGUGAACAGAAACAAAUUUUUAAGCCAUUCAUUUACUAAUACUAAACAAAGUAAUAUCAUUUUAUAGUAAAUGUGUUAGUUUAUAGUGAAGGUACUUUAAUUGCAUCCGUGGGGUAAUUCUAAAAAUAAUAAACUAUCAAAGUAGUAUUAAAGCAUUAAUCUAGCCUUUGUCAGGCAUGGUGGCUUAAAACACAAGUUUAUAAUUCUUAUUUCAAAAAACAUCAGCAGGCGUAAACCCACUGCCGGUGUGUUAACCUUUUAAAAAAUACUACAAAGCUUGUAUUUUUUAAAAAUACGAUUCUUAAG